rnacentral:tRNA from 1 species
AGAGAGGUGGCCGAGCGGUCGAAGGCGCGCGCUUGGAAAGCGUGUAUACGAAGUAAUUCGUAUCGAGGGUUCGAAUCCCUUCCUCUCUGCAA